AUUGAACGCUGGCGGCAGGCCUAACACAUGCAAGUCGAACGAGCGGCGGACGGGUGAGUAAUGUCUGGGGAACUGCCCGAUAGAGGGGGAUAACUACUGGAAACGGUGGCUAAUACCGCAUACUAUCGGAUGUACCCAUAUGGGAUUAGCUAGUAGGUGGGGUAACGGCUCACCUAGGCGACGAUCCCUAGCUGGUCUGAGAGGAUGAGCAGCCACACUGGGACUGAGACACGGCCCAGACUCCUACGGGAGGCAGCAGUGGGGAAUAUUGCACAAUGGGCGCAAGCCUGAUGCAGCCAUGCCGCGUGUAUGAAGAAGGCCUUAGGGUUGUAAAGUACUUUCAGCGGGGAGGCGUUACUCGCAGAAGAAGCACCGGCUAACUCCGUGCCAGCAGCCGCGGUAAUAC
rnacentral:rRNA from 1 species